UACGUAGGUGGCAAGCGUUGUCCGGAAUCAUUGGGCGUAAAGCGCGUGUAGGCGGCUGAGUAAGUCUGCUCUGAAAGCCCGGGGCUCAACCCCGGGAGGCGGGUGGAUACUGCUCAGCUCGAGUCCGGAAGAGGAGUGUGGAAUUCCUGGUGUAGCGGUGAAAUGCGCAGAUAUCAGGAGGAACACCAAUGGCGAAGGCGGCUACCUGGACAGAAACUGACGCUGAGGCACGAAAGCUAGGGGAGCAAACAGG
rnacentral:rRNA from 1 species